AAUGCGUAGAGAUCUGGAGGAAUACCGGUGGCGAAGGCGGCCCCCUGGACGAAGACUGACGCUCAGGUGCGAAAGCGUGGGGAGCAAACAGGAUUAGAUACCCUGGUAGUCCACGCCGUAAACGAUGUCGACUUGGAGGUUGUGCCCUUGAGGCGUGGCUUCCGGAGCUAACGCGUUAAGUCGACCGCCUGGGGAGUACGGCCGCAAGGUUAAAACUCAAAUGAAUUGACGGGGGCCCGCACAAGCGGUGGAGCAUGUGGUUUAAUUCGAUGCAACGCGAAGAACCUUACCUGGUCUUGACAUCCACGGAAGUUUUCAGAGAUGAGAAUGUGCCUUCGGGAACCGUGAGACAGGUGCUGCAUGGCUGUCGUCAGCUCGUGUUGUGAAAUGUUGGGUUAAGUCCCGCAACGAGCGCAACCCUUAUCCUUUGUUGCCAGCGGUCCGGCCGGGAACUCAAAGGAGACUGCCAGUGAUAAACUGGAGGAAGGUGGGGAUGACGUCAAGUCAUCAUGGCCCUUACGACCAGGGCUACACACGUGCUACAAUGGCGCAUACAAAGAGAAGCGACCUCGCGAGAGCAAGCGGACCUCAUAAAGUGCGUCGUAGUCCGGAUUGGAGUCUGCAACUCGACUCCAUGAAGUCGGAAUCGCUAGUAAUCGUGGAUCAGAAUGCCACGGUGAAUACGUUCCCGGGCCUUGUACACACCGCCCGUCACACCAUGGGAGUGGGUUGCAAAAGAAGUAGGUAGCUUAACCUUCGGGAGGGCGCUUACCACUUUGUGAUUCAUGACUGGGGUGAAGUCGUAACAAGGUAACCGUAGGGGAACCUGCGGUUGGAUCACCUCCUUACCUUAAAGAAGC
rnacentral:rRNA from 1 species